rnacentral:lncRNA from 1 species
AAAGAGAUCCCCACUUUUAGGGUAAAGUCCGGGGAUCAAGCCCAUUCGUGCUUGAGAGACCUAAAUUGUUAGGUGCUAAGAAAAGCUCGCUGAAAAAGCAAUGGUUCGCAGCAUAAUUAAAUAGCCAUAUUUCUUCCUUGCUGGGUUUGAUAUAUCACCAGUGUAUGAAAUAUCUGCUUUGAUCAACACUCCUGCGUUUCCGACUGCUUUCGUUCCAAUUAUCAGAUUUGGAAAGUAAUUUAACGAGUCGAAUAUUCUGAAGACUUUCUGGAAGCAUCAUACCCUCGGCAACUUUUAUUUGGGAUUGGAUGAGGUCAACACUAAAAUGAUUUCUUCUGUGACUGUGUGUUCUACUUGGAGAGGGGCGUUUACCUCUGUAAAGUAAAAUUUGUCUUGCGCUUCAACCAGGGAUUCAACGGUUCCUGCAUUUUCAUAGCCUACGUGUUUUGCCAGCUUCAGCAUAUUUUCAAAAGAUUGUUCAGUUAUCUUUGGUUCCAAUUUUGGUGCGAGAGCGAUUUCUACUACUUUUUGGUGCCUCAUUUGUACAGAACAGUCUCUCUCAAAUAAGUGGAUGUUUCCAGUUUUGUCUCCGAUAAGCUGUACUUUGAUAUGUCUCGGUUUUUCAAUAAAUUUUUCAAUGAACAUAGCUCCAUUGCCAAAAGCUGCUGCAGCUUCAGAGCUUGCUCGCCCAAAUGCUUCUGCGACACCUAUUUAAGAGAACUGUCACAUCAGAUGGACAACAAGUUCACAAAGCAAAGUGGACUGAUUAAAAAUGUUUUAGUGGACAAUCGAGGAAAAUUGCCAUCAGGGUAUUUUUUGCCUGUGCUGAAUUGGUAAAAAAAUCAAUAGCCAUGUUUUCAGAUCAUGACAAAAUGCAGAUGUUCAGCUAAAAGGCAGACGAGAAAUAAGUAAUAGGAAUGUCCAGGCCCAUCGUAAUAUACCUGAAAUCGUUCAAGUUGCAAAGAAAAGCUGUGUUGACAUAAUCCACCCUGGAUACAGAUUUCUUUCAGAGCCAAUUUUGCAAAAGCCACUAUAGAUGCAGGUCUGAGAUUCAUUGGUCCUUCCUCAAAAUUUAUCAAGCAGAUGGGAGAUAAAGUUACCACGCAACAGGCAGCGCUGACUCUGGUACACCUGGGCCAGUUAAAACAUCAGAUGAAGCAGUCAAAUUGUGCCAGAAACAUGGGCUCGAUGCAAUAUCAAACGGGCUUUUAGUGGCGACACAAGAGGAAAGCGAGUCAUCAGGGAAAUGAAGGAUGUCGCAGAAGCAUUCGGACGAGCAAGCUCUGAAGCUACAGAUGCUUUUGGCAAUGGAACAACGUUCAUUGAAAAAUUUAUUGAAAAACCCAGCCAUAUCAUCGAGCAACUUCUCAGAGACAAAGCUGGAAACAUCCACUUAUUUGAGAGAGAUUGGUCUGUACAAAGGAGACACUAAAAAGUGGUUGAAAUCGACCCCGCACCAAAAUUGGAAUCAAAGGUACUUGAUACAAUACUUGAAAGUGCACUGAAGCUGGCAAAACACGUAGGGUAUGAAAACGCAGUAAUCUUUGAAUUUCUAGUCGAAGCGCAAAACAAAUUUUACAUUAUAGAGGUAAAUUCCCGUCUGCAAGUAGAACCCACAGUCACGGAAAAAAUCACUAGUGUUGGCCUCAUUCAAUCCCAGAUAAAAGUUGCUGAGGUUAUGAUGCUUCCAGAGAUGUCUUCAGAGUGUUUGACUCAUUAAAUUACUUACAAAAUUUGAUAAUUGGAAUGAAAGCCGUUGGAAACGUGCGAGUGUUGAUCGAAGCGGCUAUUUCAUACACUGGUGACAUAUUGUAACCCAAGGAAGAAAUACGACCUGCAGCAUUAUAAGACAUUGUCUAAGAUGCUGGGGAAUGCUAGGAUUCACAUUUCAUCCUUUAAACUCUAAGGGAUCAACACGCUGAUGUAACGAUAAAGUACACACUCGUGACACACAGAACCAUAAAAACAAUUGACAUUGAAACAUUGGACUAAAAGUAGAAGGCAAAGAUUUGUAUGUUUCUAUCUGUAUGAAAAAUAAAGUUGUUCUCCCUUAUAAUAUUUUAAA